GACGAACGCUGGCGGCGUGCCUAAUACAUGCGAGUAGAACGCUGAAGGAGGAGCUUGCUUCUCUGGAUGAGUUGCGAACGGGUGAGUAACGCGUAGGUAACCUGCCUGGUAGCGGGGGAUAACUAUUGGAAACGAUAGCUAAUACCGCAUAAUAGUAGAUGUUGCAUGACAUUUGCUUAAAAGGUGCAAUUGCAUCACUACCAGAUGGACCUGCGUUGUAUUAGCUAGUUGGUGGGGUAACGGCUCACCAAGGCGACGAUACAUAGCCGACCUGAGAGGGUGAUCGGCCACACUGGGACUGAGACACGGCCCAGACUCCUACGGGAGGCAGCAGUAGGGAAUCUUCGGCAAUGGACGGAAGUCUGACCGAGCAACGCCGCGGGAGUGAAGAAGGUUUUCGGAUCGUAAAGCUCUGUUGUAAGAGAAGAACGAGUGUGAGAGUGGAAAGUUCACACUGUGACGGUAUCUUACCAGAAAGGGACGGCUAACUACGUG
rnacentral:rRNA from 1 species